UUGAAACUCUUUCGUUCAGCUGUUGCCGUAUCAAAAUGUCUGCAAACAAGCAUAAAGAUUGUGUGCGUUCCAACGACAAUCGGUUCGAAGUAACCUGAACGGACAAGGAUUUUUACCCAACCAAGGACUCUCAACUCGGCACCAGGCCUCGAAAUUACUUAAGGAAUGUUUUCUGGCGCUACAACAACAACAAUAUUGUUAUUUUGUAUUCUGUCUGUUCUGAUUACCUAUCGCUGUGGGAACACUUUCAUUGAGGCGGAACAAUAUGCCCACGAUAGUCGGGUCUAUAUAAACAGAACAAACACGGAUUUUUAGCCGGUCACGAACUGUCUGCAACAGCAGUUGUCAAUAUUACUUCAUUUCUUUAGGUGCUUAUUACAGCUACUGCAUACAUAUUCCGAAAAACCAAAUACUACACAAUUACAUGGUGUUGCAUAAAAUCUAUAAUUAACCUGAAAGUAUGUUAUACUUUCGAAGAAACUACCAAACCAUUUCCGUUCCUAAAAGUCGCCCCUGUUACCAAUAAAAGACGUGUCAGCAAGUGAUUUUAUAAAUUACAAGUUUAAAUAUAUUUCCCAGUCACAAGAAUACGCCAUUACAUACAUACGUACAUGUAUUGAUUUAUAUAAUACAUUUUAAAAUUAUUGAUAGCGCCAAAUAUUAAGUUACACAAUAUGUAAUACACAUCCGUUAAAAAAAUUAUAGCAAUAAAUAAAUUAUCAUGGAAAGUUCCUUCUCUCGAUUCUA